rnacentral:rRNA from 1 species
GUGCCAGCAGCCGCGGUAAUUCCAGCUCCAAUAGCGUAUACUAAAGUUGUUGCAGUUAAAACGCUCGUAGUCGGAUUUCGUGGUCGGGCGACAGGUCUCCUUCACAGGUGCACUUGUCGGCUUGCCAUUCUUACCGGAACGGCUGCACUUUUUUAACUAAACGUGCAGUUGGAACGGUUUAUUUACUUUGAAAAAAUCAGAGUGUUUCAAGCAGGCAGCUCGCUCUUGCAUGGAUUAGCAUGGGAUAAUGAAAUAGGACUUUGGUGCUAUUUUGUUGGUUUCGAACACCGAAGUAAUGAUUAAAAGGGACAGUCAGGGGCACUCGUAUUCCGCCGAGAGAGGUGAAAUUCUCAGACCAGCGGAAGACGAACCACUGCGAAAGCAUUUGCCAGGGAUGUUUUCACUGAUCAAGAACGAAAGUUAGGGGAUCGAAGACGAUCAGAUACCGUCGUAGUCUUAACCAUAAACCAUGCCGACUAGGGAUUGGAGGAUGUUCACUAUUGACUCCUUCAGCACCUUACGGGAAACUAAAGUCUUUGGGUUCCGGGGGGAGUAUGGUCGCAAGGCUGAAACUUAAAGGAAUUGACGGAAGGGCACCACCAGGAGUGGAGCCUGCGGCUUAAUUUGACUCAACACGGGGAAACUUACCAGGUCCAGACAUUGUGAGGAUUGACAGAUUGAGAGCUCUUUCUUGAUUCGAUGGGUGGUGGUGCAUGGCCGUUCUUAGUUGGUGGAGUGAUUUGUCUGGUUAAUUCCGUUAACGAACGAGACCGUUGCCUAUUAAAUAGUGACGCGAACACUUCGUUCGUGGCGCACUUCUUAGAGGGACAACUUGUUUUCAACAAGUGGAAGUUAGCGGCAAUAACAGGUCUGUGAUGCCC